AAUUUCUUUUUUGUUUCAAUUUUAUUGUUUUAGAUAUUUUUCGUUUGGGAAAAAAUAUUCAAUAAUUGAUAUUUUGUUAUUUUAAGUUAAUUUAAAUUGAAUUUUUUAAUAAAGCUAUUAAUUUCAAUUGAAUUUUUUAAUAUGUUUAAAUAAAUUUUUAGUUAAUAUUAUUUUAAGAUUAUUUUUUAUUGUUGAAAAAAUUAAAAAUAAAUUGUUUUUAACAAAAAUUAAAAUUUAUAAUAUUUCAUUUUUUGGUUUUUUGUUUUAAAUUAAAAUAAUAAAUAUGGGGGAAAAAAAAAUUUUGUUAUAAAUUAUAUUAGUUUAUUUUAAUUAAAAAUAUUUUUUAUUAAAUUUGUUUUUUUUUAUUUUUUUAUAAAAAAUAUUAAUUUAAUUAUUAUUAUUGAGUUUAAUUUAGUUAUUUUUAAAAAAAUUUUGUAUAAAAUAAAUUUGAUAAUAAAUGUUUUUUAAAUUCUUUGGGGGUUUAGUUUAUGAUUUUUUGUUUCUGCUCAUUGUUAAAUAAAAGCACUUUUAGCGUGAUUAGUCAAAGGUAGCGAGGUAAUUUGUUUUUUUAUUGAAUUCUAGUAUGAAUGGAGAUUUUGUUAUCAAAUAUAUUUAAUUGAGAAAGA
rnacentral:rRNA from 1 species